CAACCUUCAACUUGUAAAAUUCUCACCAAGUUUUCUCUCUUCUUUCUCUCUAAUUUUCGAGCCUAGGUCUUGUAUUAUGUUGAAAGGGUGAAAAAUCGGAUAUAUGUAGUGUACCGGGGCGCCUAGGCGCCCAAGAGUGGCGCCUAGGUGCCAUGUUUCUGUUUGGAAACAUCCUUCGGGGCGCCUAGGCGCCUAUAGAUGGCACCUAGGUGCCCAUUCACUUUCUCCCCUUCUCUUCCCUUUCUUCCCA
rnacentral:lncRNA from 1 species